CAUGAUUCCUCAAAGACAAUCUUGACCAACAACCUUACUUAGAUCACUAAAGUACCUCAGAUCAGAUUUCAAAUCAGCCUACUCAUCAGGUCCACUCUACCAUGCCAGACCAGGCAUCCAAGUUAUAAAGAUGAGAUUCCAAAUUACCCAGCUGCCAUAAAGCUCGCGUUCCCGUGUGAAUCCUGAACUCUGGCUGACGACAUCUGGAGUCCACUGCAAUCAUGUGUUCCCUCAAUGACUGAAAAACCUGAGCAUAAUGACUACCUAAGAUUCAUAUCUGUACAUACCCAAAAUGUUUAUUAAAUAGAAAUAAAGAUAAAAUAAUGUGUAGGUUUAUGGCUGUAUUUUUGCUUUUAUGGCAUUUGGGUCACUUCUAUGAUUAUCUCUGUUCCAUCUUUGAUCACAAAUGCAAGCUCUAUUGUUCCUUUAAGGAAAUACAAAAUCUUUCAUGACAAUCUCUUUUAGGAUGUGUCUUUCUAGGAACACUCUGAAAAAUAACUAGAAUUG